AACUAAAGGUUUAAAACACUUAAACAAACCUAAAACUCAAAACAGCAACCUAAUGACUCAAAACUGCCUAAAAACCACUUUCUGGGCAGUUUUGAGUACCUAACAAGAACUUGGACGAAUUUGAGUGAAAACUUGAAUCAAAACACUUAGAAACACAAAUCAAAACACUUUCUAACUAAUCUAAGACUUCAAAAUAAAGGGGGAAUUGUUUUGGACGAAAAUUGAAAACAAAACAGAAACUUAAAACUAAAAAGAUUGUAAAACGUUUUUGGAUGAAAAGGAUGGAUAAAAGGCUAGUUAGCAGGUUCUUCUCCACACAUGUCACACUUGCACACAAAAC
rnacentral:lncRNA from 1 species